AGUUUUCCCUGAGUGCCGAGCUCGGCCGGUUGAGUUGGGAGAGCUGAGAGGUUCAGUUGAGAGAGCUGAGAGGAGUUGGGAUGGUUUCUCUUAAGCUUUCCCAGUCCCCGGCACCAGACCUACCGAGCCAGAAAUUUUGGAGAAGUGGGGAAUACAGUUAAAGACCCAGCUCUCUUGGAAUUCAAAGACUAUCCAGCUCAAGAUCCCAGAGAUGGAAUGUGGCCAGAGGAGAUAAGAAAGAGAAACUACUUUGCAUAAAUAAGAGCUCAGCAAGUUAACUUUCAAACAAGUGAGUCCAGAGUACACCUGCAGAACGGGCCUGGCCCAAAAACAACCACCUUCCCUCCCCUGGGCCUGUUUGGGUGUUCACAGCAGGGCACUGUCAGCCUCUUUGCUCAUUCCAAAACCAAGUUUGCAUACGUCUAGACCCAUCCUAGAGUUGUCACCUGUGACAUUUGCACAGUCACCUGGAGCCAUCUGGAAUGUAAAGCCAAAAAAUCUGCCUGUCCGCUUCUAAUUCAAGAGAGCCUUUAAAGGACUCAGAAAAAUCAGACCAGGAGACUUUGUUAAAAAGUGAUCUCCAGAGACUAUUUGCAUUUCAACAAAGUGUUCCAUUUUUACCUUUUAUCUUGCAAGUUCGAGAGCAGUUUCCAUAGUAACUUCUUUGUGGCAAUUCAAAUAUGUUCAUGGUAGAAAAAUAAAUGAGAAAAUGCUCCACCC